rnacentral:rRNA from 1 species
CCUACGGGUGGCAGCAGUGAGGAAUAUUGGUCAAUGGACGAGAGUCUGAACCAGCCAAGUAGCGUGAAGGAUGACUGCCCUAUGGGUUGUAAACUUCUUUUAUAUGGGAAUAAACUGUUCCACGUGUGGGAUUUUGUAUGUACCAUAUGAAUAAGGAUCGGAUAACUCCGUGCCAGCAGCCGCGGUAAUACGGAGGAACCGAGCGUUAUCCGUAUUUAUUGGGUUUAAAGGGAGCGUAGGGGGAUUGUUAAGUCAGGUGUGAAAGUUUGCGGCUCAACCGUAAAAUUGCAGUUGAAACUGGCAGUCUGGAGUACAGUAGAGGCGGGCGGAAUUCGUGGUGUAGCGGUGAAAUGCUUAGAUAUCACGAAGAACUCCGAUUGCGAAGGCAGCUCACUGGACGGCAACGGACACUGAGGCUCGAAAGUGUGGGUAUCAAACAGGAUUAGAUACCCUUGUAGUC